ACGUAGGAGGCAAGCGUUAUCCGGAAUUAUUGGGCGUAAAGAGUGCGUAGGUGGUUUUUUAAGCGUGAGGUGAAAGGCAAUAGCUUAACUAUUGUAAGCCUUGCGAACUGGAAGACUUGAGUAUAGGUGAGGAAAGUGGAAUUCCUAGUGUAGCGGUGAAAUGCUUAGAUAUUAGAAAGAACACCAAUGGCGAAGGCGGCUUUCUGGACUGUAACUGACGCUGAGGCACGAAAGCGUGGGGAUCAAACAG
rnacentral:rRNA from 1 species